rnacentral:lncRNA from 10 species
CUGGGGUCAGGACAUAGUGCAGGAGCAGGAUCAGGGCUCAGGGUCAAGGCUCAAUGUGCAACUGCAGUCAGGACACAGUGUGGGGUGAAGGUUGGGGCUCAGCUAGCACCAGAGUAGAGGCUGUGUCCAGGUUAAGACUGUAACGCAAGACAGAAAACACACACAGCCAUACGAGGCCACUGUCAGCCGUGCUGGGUAUCUUUAUUUAUUAAGCUUUAUUUUCUGUAGAAGCAAGGUUUUGCUAUGCUGUCCAGGCUGGUCUCGAACUCCUGGCCUCAAGUGAUCUUCCUGCCUCAGCCUCCCAAAGUGCUGUGAUUACAGGCAUGAGCCACUGUGCCCAGGCCAUGGUGGGUAUUUUUAAUGGACAAGAACCCAGAAUGAAGAUCUACAGAGGCUUCCUGGAGGUGGUGGGACUGAGGUCAUCUGGUUUGGCAGGAUGGAAGGCCAGCUUUCCCAGGGUGGAACCAUCAGAGUGGAGGCCCCGCCCAGAACCAACAGCAGCACCAUGCGCACCCAUAGAAGGGGUAGCCUGGAGGGAGGCCAGGCGUGCGCAGAAGGCAGCUGGACAUGUGGCUACACCUCAGGUUCUUUCAUAGACAAGUUACUGACACAUUGCUGGCUCCAGGGGAAAACGCAAAACGAGGAAAAGGCCCCUCUCCCUGCUCUCAGGGAUGCUGUAGUCUUUUGACUCUCGGCUGUGCCAGAGCUUCCCCGGAAGCUCCUGGGACCAGCAUGCCUCCCACUCAAGCCAGUCAGCCAGCAUCUUGCUCCUGGGACAGGCUUUGGGCCAUGGGAGCCAGGCAGAGGCCCCAGACUAGCCAAGGCCCGGGCUGGUCCCACCUCCCGCUCCUGCUCGCUCCCGACGGCUGAAAGCAGCGGUGCCUGCCACGCCCGAGAAGCAGGCUCCAACUCACGUGCUCGUCAGCAGCCGCACUGCUGCCUGCUUUGUCAUUUUAUGCUUAUGUAAAAAAAUACUUUUUGCAAGAAAAAUCUACAGGUACAAAAUGUCAUCCCAGCCCCAUACAGUACCAAGUAAUAUAUAGGCAUAUAUAUAUAUAUAUAUAUAUUUAUGUAUUUAUAACAGAAAAUUGGAUAGAAAUUAUUCCA